CGGCUAACUACGUGCCAGCAGCCGCGGUAAUACGUAGGGUGCGAGCGUUGUCCGGAAUUACUGGGCGUAAAGAGCUCGUAGGUGGUUUGUCGCGUCGUUUGUGGAAUACCGCAGCUUAACUGCGGGGUUGCAGGCGAUACGGGCAUAACUUGAGUGCUGUAGGGGAGACUGGAAUUCCUGGUGUAGCGGUGGAAUGCGCAGAUAUCAGGAGGAACACCGAUGGCGAAGGCAGGUCUCUGGGCAGUAACUGACGCUGAGGAGCGAAAGCAUGGGGAGCGAACAGGAUUAGAUACCCUGGUAGUCCAUGCCGUAAACGUUGGGCACUAGGUGUGGGGGACAU
rnacentral:rRNA from 13 species